AGGGUUAGGGUUGUGAUUAGGGUUCAGUUGCGUAUGAGAAUAAGGGGUUUUCCCCAUGAAUCCACCACCUGCACCACCAGACUGAGCCCAGCUAGAUUCAUUCCGGCUAGCUAAGACGGCGGAUGCCAUGAAUUACACCGGCAAAUCUUAAUACCGGCGUUCGUCUGGUGGAAUUUAUCGUUAUCAAAUGGUGUUGAAAUCAUGAAAUUAAAGAGGUACGUGACAGCUACGCGCCUGCCGGAAUCUACCGAAACUCCACCCGACCUUCAAUUUCCGGUUUUAAUCAACCAAAGAAGGAAGUAAAAAGAAAACUCUAUAAAUGUUGGAACCCAAAUGAAGGCAAGGGUUUG
rnacentral:misc_RNA from 1 species